rnacentral:lncRNA from 1 species
GCGAGCGGCUUCAGUCGCUCUUAAGCUGGCGCGAUCCUCGUGCCACAACUAUAUUUGUGAUAUUCUGUCUUGCAGCAGCCAUUGUAUUGUAUGUGACACCUUUCCAGGUGCUUGCUCUUCUCGCUGGGUUCUACCUUAUGAGGCAUCCCAGGUUUCGCCACAAGACACCUGCAGCACCAAUUAAUUUCUUCCGUCGAUUGCCUGCAAGGACAGAUAGUAUGUUGUAAAUAGGUUAUGGGGGAUUUUGGCCACUUGUCGGUUUUAGGUUCUGGUUGCU